ACAUGUUCAUUUCAUGCUUCAAGUUUAUAAGUGCCGCCUCAUUCUCUCUCUUUUUCACCCAUAGCAACGGACUCACUUUGCAUUGAUGGCCAAGGAAGAACGUUGUGGUGGAACAGCGAGUUGGUGGCCGGUGGCAUCUAAGUUUGGUCACGACCACAGAUUCUGACUUUUGAGGGUGCAUUUGGCAAUUAGGCGUGGAGAAGAUGGUGACUGUACGAACUUGCAAAUUGAAAUGGUUUUGUUUUGUUAUAAAGAUUUGCGGCUUAAUGCUAAUGGUAGUGCCAGUGAGUCGAUCUGGGACCUGCAAAAGGAGACGACGAGGAAUUUGAAGCCAAAGCAAAGUUUGAUACGCAGCUUUCCAAUCUAUCUCCGAUCUAACAGGAUAACAAAAGUCAAAAUAAAAAGAUUUCAAGAGUUUUGAAAGAAAACUUAUGUAAAAACUAGAAGAAAAAACCCUUGAAGAAAAAUUAGAAGAACGAGACAACUCGAUUAGCGCGCAAUCGAAGCUUAACGUGCACCUUCACUUAGCGAGCAAGUUCAAACUUAGUGCGAGAAGAUCCACUAGGAAGCAGAAGAAAAAGACACACUGAGUCUUAGAGAGCCUGAGCCUAUUCCUUAGGGGAAAUCCUUCUUCUUUAGUUAUUCCUCUCUUUCUUUCUUCCAGUCAUCGAGUCCAUUUUUUCAUCCAUAUUAGUUUUUGAAGUGUAAAGUCUCUCAUGACUAUGAGAGACUAAAAUCCAUUUGUUGAGAGUCUGACACGUCAAACUCUUGUAGUCUAUUAUCUAUUUAAUGCAAUUCUGUUUCUAUUAUUCUUCUA